GAUGAACGCUGGCGGCGUGCCUAAUACAUGCAAGUCGAGCGAACAGGCGAGGCGCUUGCUCCUCUGACGUUAGCGGCGGACGUGUGAGUAACACGUGGAUAACCUACCUAUAAGACUGGGAUAACUUCGGGAAACCGGAGCUAAUACCGGAUAAUAUAUUGAACCGCAUGGUUCAAUAGUGAAAUACGGUUUUGCGGUCUCGUAUAGAUGGAUCCGCGCUGCAUUAGCUAGUUGGUAAGGUAACGGCUUACCAAGGCAACGAUGCGUAGCCGACCUGAGAGGGUGGUCGGCGACCCUGGAGGUGAGACACGGACCAGAGUCCUGCGGGAGGCAGCAGUAGGGAAUCUUCGGCAAUGGGGGAAAGCCUGACGGAGCGACGGCGCGUCAGUGAUGGAGAUCUUGGGAUCGUAAAACCCUGUUAUUGGGGAAGAACAGAUGUGUAAGUAACUGUGCACGGCUUGACGGUACCUGGUCAGAAAGCCACGGCUAACUACGUG
rnacentral:rRNA from 1 species